rnacentral:rRNA from 1 species
UACGUAGGGGGCGAGCGUUGUCCGGAAUUAUUGGGCGUAAAGAGCUCGUAGGCGGUUGGGCAAGUCACGUGUGAAAUCUCCACGCUCAACGUGGAGGCGCCACGUGAGACUGCCCUGACUCGAGUCCGGUAGGGGAGCGUGGAAUUCCCGGUGUAGCGGUGAAAUGCGCAGAGAUCGGGAGGAACACCCGUAGCGAAGGCGGCGCUCUGGGCCGGUACUGACGCUGAGGAGCGAAAGCGUGGGGAGCAAACAGG